ACACAAUUCGCACUUUGAAAUAACUCACAUGCCUAGUUACCACUGUUUUGACAAAUUGUCAAAACAGUGGUAAUUAACUAGGCAUGUGAGUUAUUUCAAAGUGCGAAUUGUGU